AGGUAGAGUUAGUCAGGUAGGAUGAUAAAGACAGUGUCUGUAGGUAGAGUUAGUCAGGUAGGAUGAUAAAGACAGUGUCAGUAGGUAGAGUUAGUCAGGUAGGAUGAUAAAGACAGUGUCAGUAGGUAGAGUUAGUCAGGUAGGAUGAUAAAGACAGUGUCUGUAGGUAGAGUUAGUCAGGUAGGAUGAUAAAGACAGUGUCUGUAGGUAGAGUUAGUCAGGUAGGAUGAUAAAGACAGUGUCUGUAGGUAGAGUUAGUCAGGUAGGAUGAUAAAGACAGUGUCUGUAGGUAGAGUUAGUCAGGUAGGAGGAUAAAGACAGUGUCUGUAGGUAGAGUUAGUCAGGUAGGAUGAUAAAGACAGUGUCUGUAGGUAGAGUUAGUCAGGUAGGAUGAUAAAGACAGUGUCUGUAGGUAGAGUUAGUCAGGUAGGAUGAUAAAGACAGUGUCUGUAGGUAGAGUUAGUCAGGUAGGAGGAUAAAGACAGUGUCUGUAGGUAGAGUUAGUCAGGUAGGAGGAGAAAGACAGUGUCUGUAGGUAGAGUUAGUCAGGUAGGAUGAUAAAGACAGUGUCAGUAGGUAGAGUUAGUCAGUGUGGCAGAGUACUACUGUGUAUUACCAACCUUCUGUUUGGUUCGAUCUCAAAUGAACGUCAUUGACAUUGUCUUGGGAGUGCUACUGGGCGGUAGUCAUUUAGACAGGUGACCUUGGCUCUCUUGGGCACCGGGACUAUGGUGGUCUGCUUGAAACAUGUAGAUAUUAAAGACUGGGUCGGUAAGAGGUUGAAAAUGUCAGAGUACGUGUCCUGGUAAUCCGUCUGGCCCUGCGGCCUUGUGAAUGUUGACCUGUUUAAAGGUCUCACAUCGACUAUGGACAGCGUGAUCACACAGUCUUCCGGGAACAGCUGGCGCUCUCACGCAUGGUUCAGUGUUGCUUGCCUCGAAAGCUAGCAUAGAAGGCAUUUAGCUCGUCUGGUAGGACAUAUUCCAGUCUGUGCUAGCGAAACAGUCCUGUAGCUCAGGGGCUCUUAUUUCCUGCAAUUAUACACAUUUUUAUCAUGGGGUGCAAAGAACGUUUUGCAGUUUUAAAGCAAAUUAUUUUCUUGCAAUUCUAUAAAUUUUGCCAUGUCUAAUGUGUAUUCAUGUGAUAUUUGAGUGACUCAAAAACUACAACAAUAUUUAUGGGCUAAAAAAAGUAAGUGAAAAGACGGCCGUGGGCUGAUUGAUCUGGACAUUCCUGACUAGUUAUAAACAUCUCUCUAAUGUGAACAAUGACUAAGGUGACAAGAGGAGCUGAUGAUGUCAUACCCCAUUUAGAAAUGUCACCUGGUACAUUCUACUAUUAUCACUUUCAGGAGUGGUCCUUCUGUAGCUCAGUUGGUAGAGCAUGGUGCUUGUAACGCCAGGGUAGUGGGUUCGAUUCCCGGGACCACCCAUACGUAGAAUGUAUGCACACAUGACUGUAAGUCGCUUUGGAUAAAAGCGUCUGCUAAAUGGCAUAUAUUAUUAUUAUUAAAGCUGGACUGAGUUCUUACAAAAAAAUG